rnacentral:rRNA from 1 species
CCUACGGGCGGCAGCAGUGAGGAAUAUUGGUCAAUGGACGAGAGUCUGAACCAGCCAAGUAGCGUGAAGGAUGAUUGCCCUAUGGGGUGUAAACUUUCUUUAUAAGGGACUAAAGUGAGGCACUGUUGCCUUUUUGUAUGUAUUUUAUGAAUAAGGAUCGGCUAACUCCGUGCCAGCGGCCGCGGUAAUACGGAGGAGCCAGGCGUUAUCCGGAUUUAUGGGGUUUAAGGGUGGCGUAGAUGGGUUGUUAAGUAAGUUGUGAAAGUUUGCGGCUCAACCGUAAAAUUGCAAUUGAUACUGGCAGCCUUGAGUACAGUUGAGGUAGGCGGAAUUCGUGGUGUAGCGGUGAAAUGCUUAGAUAUCACGAAGAACUCCGAUUGCGAAGGCAGCCUACUAAACUGCCACUGACAUUGAUGCUCGAAAGUGUGGGUAUCAAACAGGAUUAGAUACCCGGGUAGUC